rnacentral:rRNA from 1 species
CCGCGGUAAAACCGGUUACUCCUACGGGAGGCAGCAGUGGGGAAUAUUGCGCAAUGGGCGAAAGCCUGACGCAGCGACGCCGCGUGGGGGAUGAAGCUUCUCGGAGUGUAAACCCCUUUCGACCCGGACGCGGUACGGGUAUAAGAAGCCCCGGCUAACUAC